UACGUAGGGGGCAAGCGUUGUCCGGAUUUAUUGGGCGUAAAGAGCUCGUAGGUGGUUUGGUAAGUCGGAUGUGAAAUCUCCAGGCUCAACCUGGAGGGGUCAUUCGAUACUGCCAUGACUAGAGGUCGGUAGGGGAGUGUGGAAUUCCGGGUGUAGCGGUGGAAUGCGUAGAGAUCCGGAAGAACACCGGAGGCGAAGGCGGCUGGCUGGGCCUGAUCUGACGCUGAGGUGCGAAAGCGUGGGGAGCGAACAGG
rnacentral:rRNA from 1 species